rnacentral:snRNA from 1 species
GUGGGCUCUGCUCCCUCAAGCA